AGGGUUCGAUUAUGGCUCAGGAUGAACGCUGGCGGCGUGCUUAACACAUGCAAGUCGAACGAGAGAAGAUCGGUGCUUGCACUGAUCCGAUCGAGUGGCGGACGGGUGAGUAACGCGUGGGUGACCUGCCCCAUACCGGGGGAUAACAGCUGGAAACGGCUGCUAAUACCGCAUAAGCGCACAGAGCUGCAUGGCUCGGUGUGAAAAACUCCGGUGGUAUGGGAUGGGCCCGCGUCUGAUUAGGCAGUUGGCGGGGUAACGGCCCACCAAACCGACGAUCAGUAGCCGGCCUGAGAGGGCGACCGGCCACAUUGGGACUGAGACACGGCCCAA
rnacentral:rRNA from 1 species